UGGGGAAUAUUGGGCAAUGGGCGCAAGCCUGACCCAGCGACGCCGCGUGAGGGAUGAAGGUCUUCGGAUUGUAAACCUCUUUCAGUGGGGAAGAAGCGAAAGUGACGGUACCCAAAGAAGAAGCACCGGCUAACUAUGUGCCAGCAGCCGCGGUAAUACAUAGGGUGCAAGCGUUGUCCGGAAUUAUUGGGCGUAAAGAGCUCGUAGGUGGUUUAUCACGUCGGAUGUGAAAUUCUGAGGCUCAACCUCGGACCUGCAUUCGAUACGGGCAAACUAGAGUGUGGUAGGGGAGACUGGAAUUCCUGGUGUAGCGGUGGAAUGCGCAGAUAUCAGGAGGAACACCAAUGGCGAAGGCAGGUCUCUGGGCCAUUACUGACACUGAGGAGCGAAAGCGCGGGGAGCGAACAGGAUUAGAUACCCUGGUAGUCCGCGCCGUAAACGGUGGGCACUAGUUGUGGGAACCUUCCACGGUUUCCGCGACGCAGCUAACGCAUUAAGUGCCCCGUCUGGGGAGUACGACCGCAAGAUUA
rnacentral:rRNA from 1 species